rnacentral:rRNA from 1 species
GGCAGGCCUAACACAUGCAAGUCGAACGGUAACAUUUCUAGCUUGCUAGAAGAUGACGAGUGGCGGACGGGUGAGUAAUGCUUGGGAACUUGCCUUUGCGAGGGGGAUAACAGUUGGAAACGACUGCUAAUACCGCAUAAUGUCUUCGGACCAAACGGGGCUUCGGCUCCGGCGCAAAGAGAGGCCCAAGUGAGAUUAGCUAGUUGGUAAGGUAACGGCUUACCAAGGCGACGAUCUCUAGCUGUUCUGAGAGGAAGAUCAGCCACACUGGGACUGAGACACGGCCCAGACUCCUACGGGAGGCAGCAGUGGGGAAUAUUGCACAAUGGGGGAAACCCUGAUGCAGCCAUGCCGCGUGUGUGAAGAAGGCCUUCGGGUUGUAAAGCACUUUCAGUUGUGAGGAAAAGUUAGUAGUUAAUACCUGCUAGCCGUGACGUUAACAACAGAAGAAGCACCGGCUAACUCCGUGCCAGCAGCCGCGGUAAUACGGAGGGUGCGAGCGUUAAUCGGAAUUACUGGGCGUAAAGCGCACGCAGGCGGUUUGUUAAGCUAGAUGUGAAAGCCCCGGGCUCAACCUGGGAUGGUCAUUUAGAACUGGCAGACUAGAGUCUUGGAGAGGGGAGUGGAAUUCCAGGUGUAGCGGUGAAAUGCGUAGAUAUCUGGAGGAACAUCAGUGGCGAAGGCGACUCCCUGGCCAAAGACUGACGCUCAUGUGCGAAAGUGUGGGUAGCGAACAGGAUUAGAUACCCUGGUAGUCCACACCGUAAACGCUGUCUACUAGCUGUGUGUGCCUUUAAGGCGUGCGUAGCGAAGCUAACGCGCUAAGUAGACCGCCUGGGGAGUACGGCCGCAAGGUUAAAACUCAAAUGAAUUGACGGGGGCCCGCACAAGCGGUGGAGCAUGUGGUUUAAUUCGAUGCAACGCGAAGAACCUUACCUACACUUGACAUGCUGAGAAGUUACUAGAGAUAGUUUCGUGCCUUCGGGAACUCAGAACCAG